CAGAGAUUACAAUUAUCCUCUCAAAAUCAUCGAUACUCUCCUUCCUUGUUUUUGAUUUGCCGUGUUCUUCUACAUCGCCAGCUCCACAUAAUCAAUCUCACCCUUUUCUUCGGAUCAACAACAGCAGCCCACCCUUCUUCUCAGCUUCUAAAUCUUGUUUCUCCAAUUGAACAGAACCCAAAAUCACCUGCAAUUGUUUCUUCCUGUAAAUCCUAAUCACAAACUCAAAAUCACCUGCAAUUGAGAAGACCCAGCAGCAGAAAAAAUUGAUUUUAAUUCAGUUGUUUCUAUGGUGAUAUUUUAAAAACGGGUACCUCUUAAUUAUUGUGUGAUGGAACAAAUCGGUAGAAAAUUUAAGCGAAAUGCGUCAAUAGUUUAAUUUCUGAAGUGUAAUUGCAUCUAUAUCUAAGAAAGUGAGGGAUGGCUUGUGUUGUUCGUUAGAGCGAAAAAAUAAUGGAGGAGUGGGUUCAGAUUAUGUUGAUCAUAUGGAGAUGGAGGACUCAAUUAUAAUUCUUUGUUCGUUGAGAACUAGGGAAGGAGAUGAAAUAUGGAUCGAAAGAACACAACAAACUCACCUCCUCUAACACCAGUUUAGGUCCAGCAACUGUUUGAAGAAAGUCUCAAAAGGAAUUUCUCUUAUAUUACUAGUCCAUACGUCAUAAUUACCAGAUUUUUCCUUUGAUUUUGUGAUUGUGCUUAAAGGGUUUUGGCUAAUUUUGUAGAAGCCAGGGAAUGAUGGCAGUGGCCCGAGGCAUUGGUGAGUCUUAGGCAGGGUUUAGUAGCUACAGGACAUGCAGAAAUUGAAUUGUUAUCGCCGGCUACAAAAAUGGUUCUAGUGGGAUUAAAGGUUUAGGGGAUGGUUUGUAAAUGCAUCAAAGAAACAGAGAGCUGAUGAGAAGUCCUGAAUGAAAUCUCCGUCGCUCACCAGUUUAAUGUUACAGUUGAAGGUGAAGAAGACAUCCAGAGCACGACUAAUCCUGGGCCUUCGAUUUUCUGUGGCUAGAUCUGUUACACAUGUACACUAUCAACGACAUCUUCGCCAUUCACUUUGUGAUGAAACCUCUGUCGUUGAUCUUAUAAGGAUUAAAAUGUCUUUAAAACUAGAAAAAUGUUGAUAGGUGGCGGAUAACCGUGGCCAACUUUCCAUCCACAA